CCUCUCUUCUUUUUGUGUUGGAGGAGCUCCGUUUUUUGGAAUAUGCGCUUCAUCGGUGGUGUUGCGGCAGCCGUUGCAAUGGAAGUUGACGUGCGGUGGAAGCGGCGCAGGGAGGUAGGAGACGAUCUUCUUCCGUGUGGUUGCCGUAGUGAGCAGCGAUGCAUUGUGUAUUGGGCGUGAACGCAAGUGUUGAGGACGACUGUGUUUAAUUCGGAUCUGGGCAGUGUAAUGCUUCAGCGGCGGCUGGUGUCACUGCUACUGUCGAUUGCUUCCGGUUCUUCUUCUAUCAUCGUCGAUGUCGUUGGUGGCUCGUAAGCGACGUCGAGCAUCUUUUUUUAUUUUUAUUUUUUCUGCAAUCAGCGUGGAAUGGAGAGGUUCUAGUUGCGUAUCUAGAAGGUGUUUCGAAGGGUCAUGUCGCUGCGCAAUUGGCUUUUGAGGAGCAUCGACAAUUUUCUCACUUCCAAGGAGCUAGUUGCCACUUUUGAGGAGUAAGGUGUAACGGUUGACAGGACCAGGAACUCCUCCACAUGCAAUGGAGUGGUGCUCUGGCGAUCGAUCUCCCUUCUUCUUGUUUUCAUUUUUUUUGUUCGUAAGAGGUGUGGCUCCAAAGGUGUGAAUUGUUUUUUCUCAUCGAUGUUUUUUUUUUUUUUUUUUUUUUUUUUUUGCGUGUUGCUGCGGCGUUGCAAAAAAAAAUAAAGAAAAAAAAGAAAAAAAGAUCAGGGUUGCUGUUGGACCUCCUGUUUUUUCUUUUUUUAUUUUUCUCGAUGCGAUUGCAAGUUUUGGUGAUUAUGGCGCAGCUAAGAUCGAGGCGGACGACGUGAUUUGUUGCGGUGGUUGGUUUUUUCCCUCUCUCUAUAAACUUUGAUCUUAAACUGUUGUCGGAAGGUACGGCUUUAACGUGUAUGUGGUGCCUGGAUUGUUGCUGCGGUGGUGUCGCAAGCGGUUUUUGUGGUGCAAUGGACCGGCAGAGUGCCAUUCAAGGCAUCUGGUGGAGGCACUGAUCAUCAUCGAGUACGCGGUGUGUUCCUCACCUUUCGUGGUUCGGGUCGUCGUCGACUACAAUAGUGCGGCGAAGGUGGAUCAGUGUCUUCCUUCUUGUUGUUUACACUGCCGGACCUUGGUGGGCGGCUCUUGCUACCUAGGUGGAGCUCGAAGACAGUGUGGCAACAGCAGUGUUCUUCUUUCAGAUUCACUCAAGUUGUGUGCCGCACCCUUCAAAAUCGAGGGGAUUGGAAAUUCUGCUGGAGGGCAGAGUUAUCAGCAACCUUGAACGGAGGCUUGCAGUACAUUGACACAAUUCUUUCUACUGUAGUAGUGUCUUUGAUUGAAUUCUCGAAAAACCAUUGAUGGCAAAAAUACCAGUAACGUCGUAGUUAAACAGGCUGACUCUGCUUUGUCCUUAGGAAUUAAGCCAUCACAAUUUUUGUCGUUUAGGUUCUGUAACAAAACAGAAUUCCGACUCAAGGCACUGAUUCUACCUCCUCAGCCUUGGGGGGUUGACGCCGGCGAACCAGGAACACAAGAUAGUUUUAGAUUUUGUUGAGCGGAAUUCCAGGAAAAGAACAACAAAAGAAUAAAUGUGUAGCAUUUUAUCUCUCUUUAAUGAGCUAUUCUACGCUAUCCACGCAAGUGCAGCACCUCCAAUUCGCCUGGUCGCCCAGUGACAGUCGUAGACCCCAGUGAAGGUUCGAGGUUGACCAUUCAGUUCAAGCACAUUAAGCGGCAUUGCUGGAGGGAGAGCUCCGACUAGUGGAUUGCAUUUACGAGACUGCACAGCCUCGACGUCACCUCUUUUUCAAAGUGAAUUAUAAGGUGACAAAUUCUAAUAGGGAGAUGUUAGGUUAGGACUCAAGUAAAUUAAGAUUUGGAUGGAAAAUAUUGGAUUUGGAUAAGAUUAAUUUAAGGAUGAGUUUAAUACAU